UCGAUUUGGAGUUUGUUGCCUUGAGUGAUGGGCUCCGAAGCUAACGCGAUAAAUCGACCGCCUGGGGAGUACGGCCGCAAGGUUAAAACUCAAAUGAAUUGACGGGGGCCCGCACAAGCGGUGGAGCAUGUGGUUUAAUUCGAUGCAACGCGAAGAACCUUACCUGGUCUUGACAUCCACAGAAUCUUGCAGAGAUGCGAGAGUGCCUUCGGGAACUGUGAGACAGGUGCUGCAUGGCUGUCGUCAGCUCGUGUUGUGAAAUGUUGGGUUAAGUCCCGCAACGAGCGCAACCCUUAUCCUUUGUUGCCAGCGGUUUGGCCGGGAACUCAAAGGAGACUGCCGUUGAUAAAGCGGAGGAAGGUGGGGACGACGUCAAGUCAUCAUGGCCCUUACGACCAGGGCUACACACGUGCUACAAUGGCGUAUACAAAGGGAGGCGACCUCGCGAGAGCAAGCGGACCUCACAAAGUACGUCUAAGUCCGGAUUGGAGUCUGCAACUCGACUCCAUGAAGUCGGAAUCGCUAGUAAUCGUGAAUCAGAAUGUCACGGUGAAUACGUUCCCGGGCCU
rnacentral:rRNA from 1 species